GCUUCCUUAGCGUAGUUGGUUUAUCGCAUCCGUCUAAUAGACAUGCCCACCGAACAGGUGGUACAUCCAAACGGAAGGUCACUAGUUCGAGCCUAGUAGGGAGCA